UGACAUUUUGCUUUUGGGUGGGGAAAUGAUCUUCACAUCCUACAAAGCUCAAGGUCUUUCAGUGGGAUUGUCAUUGGUAGAGGAGGACAAGUCAUAUGUUGCAACAUCACUUCUUGAGGAGGCCAAGGCCAAAGGAGUUAGCCUGUUGCUGCCUAGUGAUGAUGUUUGUUGUAGGCAAGUUUGCCCUUGAUGCCAACUGCCAGAUGCUUUGGUCUUCGUGCAUUUUUGGCCCAAAUAGUGAGUCGAAAAGCUGAAAGUUUGUGUUUAUUAUCAUAAGUCGUGCCGGCAUCUGCUAUUCCAGAUGGCUGGAUGAGACGGGAUAUUGGACUGGACUCUCUCAAAAGAUUCAGUGAGGUCUUGGAGACUACAAAAACUGUAAUAUUGGAUGGAGGCCUUUGAAUUUGUCAUCAGAACCGAGGCUUGUAAGCUUGGAUAUGGAAUUUGGUUUCAUAUUUUUCAUGAAUGCGUCGGAUAAGAUUAGCCCUUGGGUUGGGGGGUUGGGGAAAGAAGGCAAGAUGGAAGCACUCUGGUUGGAUUGUCUAUUACGAGGUCAAAUGAGAUCAAGAUACUUUUGUUAUACGAAGAAUUGCUAACGGAGAAAGGCGUUGCAACUGUACUAUGUUGCAGGGUUGCGUGUUUUGCGAUUGGGCCUGCACCUUUCUUGAGGAAUACUUGACACGUAAUACCGUUAUUGUAACCUGCAUUAACUAUUAUAAUAACGUGUUUUUUCUCUCUUUUUUUUCCCUUGUUUUGGUGUUGGGGAAGGAGGAGAGGAGGAGGAGGAGGGGGGUUGGUUAACGAAAGGAAGAUUAUGUUGUCGAUAGAAAUGCAAAUAUUUUUUGCAGGCCACUGAAAAGCAAGCAAGCAGACCUGAGCGCAAGGGACUCAAACAUCACUG